rnacentral:rRNA from 1 species
CCUACGGGGGGCUGCAGUGGGGAAUAUUGCACAAUGGGGGAAACCCAGAUGCAGCAACGCCGCGUGAGCGAUGAAGGCCUUCGGGUCGUAAAGCUCUGUCCCAAGGGAAGAAUACUGACGGUACCUUAGGAGGAAGCCCCGGCUAACUACGUGCCAGCAGCCGCGGUAAUACGUAGGGGGCUAGCGAGAUACGGAAUUACUGGGCGUAAAGGGUGCGUAGUGGAGAUUACAAGUCAGAGGUGAAAGGCUACGGCUCAAACGUCGUAAGCCGUUGAAACGGUGGGGCGUGGGUGCAGGAGAGUGGUAUGGAAUUCACGGUGUAGGGGUGAAAUGCGUAGGUAUUGGGAGGAACACCAGUUGCGAAUGCGGGUCUCUGGACUGUAGAUGACGCUGAGGCACGAAAGGGUGGGAAGUGAACAGGAGGAGAUACCAUAGUGGUC